rnacentral:tRNA from 1 species
UUGUAACAGACGAAGAAUUACGUGAGCAACUAAAUUAUUUUGGAGUUUCUGAAAAAGAUUAUAUA